rnacentral:misc_RNA from 1 species
UAAUAAGUGUUUUACUGGCCACUUUUUAAAUCCAUAUCCACCUUGUGUGCAAUGUCAGUCGAUCUUCUUCAUGGAGAUCGACCAAACAUCAACCUUUAUCUUUUAACUCUUUGUCUGAAAAAUAUUAUGAAUAAACAAUUCAAAAUA